AUCAACUUAAAACACCGGUUCUCGUACGAUCAUCGAAGUUAAGCAACGUCGAACAUGUUCAAUCCCUAGAUGAGUGACCGCUCGGGAAUAUUAGGUGCUGUUAG